rnacentral:rRNA from 1 species
UAGGGAAUCUUCCGCAAUGGACGCAAGUCUGACGGAGCAACGCCGCGUGAGUGAAGAAGGAUUUCGGUUCGUAAAACUCUGUUGUUAGAGAAGAACAGCGCAUAGAGUAACUGUUAUGCGUGUGACGGUAUCUAACCAGAAAGCCACGGCUAACUACGUGCCAGCAGCCGCGGUAAUACGUAGGUGGCAAGCGUUGUCCGGAUUUAUUGGGCGUAAAGCGAGCGCAGGCGGUCAAUUAAGUCUGAUGUGAAAGCCCCCGGCUCAACCGGGGAGGGUCAUUAGAAGCUGGUUGGAUUGAGUGCGGAAGAGGAGAGUGGAAUUCCAUGGGGAGCGAUGAAAUGCGUAGAUAGAAGAAGGAACGCCGGGAGCGAAGGCGACUCGCUGGUCUGUAACUGACGCGGAGGAUCGAGAGCGUGGGUAGCAAACAUG